rnacentral:rRNA from 1 species
UACAGAGGUCCCAAGCGUUGUUCGGAUUCACUGGGCGUAAAGGGUGCGUAGGCGGUCGGGUAAGUCUGAUGUGAAAUCUCACAGCUUAACUGUGAAACUGCAUUGGAUACUAUUCGGCUAGAGAGUUGGAGGGGGGACUGGAAUUCUUGGUGUAGCAGUGAAAUGCGUAGAUAUCAAGAGGAACACCAGUGGCGAAGGCGAGUCCCUGGACACAUAUUGACGCUGAGGUGCGAAAGCGUGGGGAGCAAACAGG